rnacentral:rRNA from 1 species
GAUGAACGCUGACAGAAUGCUUAACACAUGCAAGUCAUUGGCGAAGCUGCGCUUGCGCAGUCUAGCCAAGGCGGACGGGUGAGUAACGCGUAAGGAACUUGCCCUGCAGACAGGGAUAACAGACGGAAACGACUGAUAACACCUGGUAUUGUCAGGCUGGCGCAUGCCGGCCUGAUGAAAGGAGACGCUGCAGGAGAGCCUUGCGUCCUAUUAGCUAGUUGGUGGGGUAACGGCCCACCAAGGCGAUGAUAGGUAGCCGGCCUGAGAGGGUGAACGGCCACAAGGGGACUGAGAUACGGCCCUUACUCCUACGGGAGGCAGCAGUGGGGAAUAUUGGACAAUGGGGGCAACCCUGAUCCAGCAAUUCGGUGUGCACGAAGAAGGUUUUCGGAUUGUAAAGUGCUUUCAGCAGGGAAGAAGAAAGUGACGGUACCUGCAGAAGAAGCGACGGCUAAAUACGU